GGAUGUUUUACGAUUUUACCUUUAUUCAUCACUGUUUUGAUCUGGUGGGUUUAGCUUGAGUUGAAUGACCAUACCAUGAUGCAUUAUGGUCACUGGCUCACUAGAUGGGUAACCAGGUUUGUCAUAGGUCAAUCUAAUGGCUGGUUUUGGUUCUCUCUUAGAUCUUCGGACAGCGGAGGACUUUUCACUCCCAUUUCUUGUACUUUUAACUGAUCUUUCACUUCUGACUUGGGUUGAAAAGGGUGAGCUUGCUCUCCCUUCUAAAACCUGAUCUUCUACCGAAUCAUAAUUUGUCUCUUGGGCAUCAGAAUCCAUCACAGCAGAUGUAUCAUCUAUGAAAGAUCCUUCACUCUCUGAUUCUAUAACUGGUUGAAUUUCCUCCUCUCCAGAGCCUUCACUGUCUUCUCCAGAGCUUUCCUCCUCUUCAGAACUUCCACGGUUCUCAGUCUCUUGUGACUCUUGCUUUGGUGAUGCGUUUUGUUUCCUGACCUCAUCCACAACAAAACCUUGAGGAUUCUGGACAGUAUCAAAUUCUGUAUCUGUUGACACAGUGUCACUUUCUUCAACUGGAUCAGUAAGCUUAGUUCUUGGACAUGGCCGGGGAUGUUGUGAUCUGGUGACAGGUCUCUGAGUCGUUCCUGCAACAUCUGGGGGG